rnacentral:sRNA from 1 species
CCUUAGCCCCGAUAGUAGCGAAAAUCCUUGUGGGCCCGUGUUCGGUCCGCAAGAUUGUAGCGGAUAGCGGGACAAUAU